rnacentral:rRNA from 1 species
UACGUAGGGGGCAAGCGUUGUCCGGAAUCAUUGGGCGUAAAGAGCUCGUAGGCGGUGUGUCGCGUCGGCCGUGAAAACCUGCAGCUUAACUGUGGGCUUGCGGUCGAUACGGGCAUCACUGGAGUUCGGCAGGGGAGACUGGAAUUCCUGGUGUAGCGGUGAAAUGCGCAGAUAUCAGGAGGAACACCGGUGGCGAAGGCGGGUCUCUGGGCCGAUACUGACGCUGAGGAGCGAAAGUGUGGGGAGCGAACAGG